AUUGAACGCUGGCGGCAGGCCUAACACAUGCAAGUCGAACGAGUGGCGGACGGGUGCGUAAUGUCUGGGAAACUGCCUGAUGGAGGGGGAUAACUACUGGAAACGGUAGCUAAUACCGCAUACCAUCGGAUGUGCCCAUAUGGGAUUAGCUAGGAGGUGGGGUAAAGGCUCACCUAGUCGACGAUCCCUAGCUGGUCUUAGAGGAUGACCUGCCAAACUGGAACUCAGACACGGUCCAGACUCCUACGGUAGGUAGCAGUGGGGAAUAUUGCAAAAUGGGCGCAAGCCUGAUGCAGCCAUGCCGCGGGUAGGAAGAAGGCCGUCGGGUUGUAAAGUACUUUCAGCGGGGAGGCGUUACCCGCAGAAGAAGCACCGGCUAACUCCGUGCCAGCAGCCGCGGUAAUUC
rnacentral:rRNA from 1 species